GGCCUGAGGUCCUGGCUCCGAGACUGAGGCCGAGACGCGGCAAGCCCCGCGCCGGACCAGCUCUGCCCCUCCCGCACCCACGUGUCUGCGCACAGCCCUCCUUUGCGAUAGAACCCCCUUCCUGGUUCUCCACCACUAAUGAUCUGCCGGAAUUAAACUGGUAACUUUCCCUGCCCUUGAACCGGGAGUUUCGGGAUGAGUUUGCCAAUCCCUGUGCUAUUUGUAACCAGCCCCGUGACACGUGAUACGGAUCCAACUGUGCUAGUUUCCACACCAGGGGUCAGGGCACGGUGGAAGGUGAGUCAAGGGUUCUCUGCCCAAGCGCAGAGGUGCCCUGAGCCACGGGGACUUCCCAGCCCUGCCUUCUCUUCUCAGCUUCCUGUCUGCCUUGCCUGAAACCCUAUCUAG
rnacentral:lncRNA from 1 species